UACGUAGGGUGCGAGCGUUGUCCGGAAUUACUGGGCGUAAAGAGCUCGUAGGUGGUUUGUCGCGUUGUCCGUGAAAACUCACAACUCAAUUGUGGGCGUGCGGGCGAUACGGGCAGACUGGAGUACUGCAGGGGAGACUGGAAUUCCUGGUGUAGCGGUGGAAUGCGCAGAUAUCAGGAGGAACACCGGUGGCGAAGGCGGAUCUCUGGGCCUUGCCUGACGCUGAGGCGCGAAAGCUAGGGGAGCGAACAGG
rnacentral:rRNA from 1 species